rnacentral:rRNA from 1 species
GAUGAACGCUGGCGGCGUGCUUAACACAUGCAAGUCGAACGGAAAGGCCCAAGCUUGCUUGGGUACUCGAGUGGCGAACGGGUGAGUAACAAGUGGGUGAUCUGCCCUGCACUUCGGGAUAAGCCUGGGAAACUGGGUCUAAUACCGGAUAGGACCACAUUUUGGAUGGUGUGGUGGAAAGUUUUUCGGUGUGGGAUGAGCUCGCGGCCUAUCAGCUUGUUGGUGGGGUAAUGGCCUACCAAGGCGUCGACGGGUAGCCGGCCUGGGAGGGUGUACGGCCACAUUGGGACUGAGAUACGGCCCAGACUCCUACGGGAGGCAGCAGUGGGGAAUAUUGCACAAUGGGCGCAAGCCUGAUGCAGCGACGCCGCGUGGGGGAUGACGGCCUUCGGGUUGUAAACUCCUUUCGCUAGGGACGAAGCGUUAUGUGACGGUACCUGGAGAAGAAGCACCGGCUAACUACGUG